UAGCCUACGGGGGGCAGCAGUGGGGGAUAUUGCACAAUGGGGGAAACCCUGAUGCAGCGACGCCGCGUGGGCGAAGAAGUAUUUCGGUAUGUAAAGCCCUAUCAGCAGGGAAGAAGAAAUGACGGUACCUGAGUAAGAAGCACCGGCUAAAUACGUGCCAGCAGCCGCGGUAAUACGUAUGGUGCAAGCGUUAUCCGGAUUUACUGGGUGUAAAGGGAGCGCAGGAGGCACGGCAAGCCUGAUGUGAAAGCCCGCGGCGAAACCGCGGGACUGAAUUGGGAACUACCGGGCUGGAGUGGCGGGGG
rnacentral:rRNA from 1 species